AAUGGCUGCAGUAAUUUGACUGUACAAAGGUAGCAUAAUCAUUAGUUUUUUAAUUAAAAGCUUGUAUGAAAGGUUGGACGAAAUAAAUUCUGUCUCUUUUUAAUAAAAUUAGAAUUUAAUUUUUAAGUUAAAAAGCUUAAAUAAUUAUAAAAGACGAGAAGACCCUAUAGAGUUUUAUAAUUUAAAUUUAUUAAUUAAUUUAGAUUUAUUAAUUUUAUUUUUUUUAAAUUAUUUUAUUGGGGUAAUAGGAAGAUUAAAAAAAUUCUUUUUUUUAUAAAAUCAUUAAUUUAUGAAAAUUUUUUGAUCCAUUAAUUUUUGAAUAUAAGAUUAAAUUACCUUAGGGAUAACAGCGUAAUUUUUUUUAAGAGUUCAUAUCGAUAAAAAAGUUUGCGACCUCGAUGUUGGAUUAAAGAUUAAUUUAGGUGUAGAAGUUUAAAUUUUUGGUCUGUUCGACCAUUGAAUCUUUACAUGAUCUGAGUUCAAACCGGUGUAAGCCAGGUUGGUUUCUAUCUUUAUUAAAAUUUUAUAUUUUAGUACGAAAGGACCAAUUAUAUUAUAUAUUUAUAUUUAAAUUAUUGAAUAU
rnacentral:rRNA from 1 species